rnacentral:rRNA from 1 species
GAUGAACGCUGGCGGCGUGCCUAAUACAUGCAAGUCGAGCGAGCUUGCCUAGAUGAUUUUAGUGCUUGCACUAAAUGAAACUAGAUACAAGCGAGCGGCGGACGGGUGAGUAACACGUAGGUAACCUGCCCCGGAGCGGGGGAUAACAUUUGGAAACAGAUGCUAAUACCGCAUAACAACAAAAGCCGCAUGGCUUUUGUUUGAAAGAUGGCUUUGGCUACCACUCUGGGAUGGACCUGCGGUGCAUUAGCUAGUUGGUAAGGUAACGGCUUACCAAGGCGACGAUCGGUAGCCGGACUGAGAGGUUGAACGGCCACAUUGGGACUGGAGACACGGGCCCAG